GACGAACGCUGGCGGCGUGCUUAACACAUGCAAGUCGAACGGAAAGGCCCUUCGGGUUACUCGAUUGGCGAACGGGUGAGUAACACGGGGGUGAUCUGCCCUGCACUUUGGGAUAAGCCGGGGAAACUGGGUCUAAUACCGAAUAGGACCACUCGCUUCAUGGGGUGUGGUGGGAAGCUUUUGCGGUGUGGGGUGGGCGCGCGGGCUAUCAGCUUGUUGGUGGGGUAAUGGCCUACCAAGGCGGCGACGGGUAGCCGGCCUGAGAGGGUGACCGGCCACCCUGGGACUGAGAUACGGCCCAGACUGCUACGUGAGGCAGCAGUGGGGAAUAUUGCACAAUGGGCGCAAGCCUGAUGAAGCGACGCCGCGUGUGGGAUGACGGCCUUCGGGUUGUAAACCUCUUUCAGUAGGGACGAAGCGCAAGUGACGGUACCUAUAGAAGAAGCACCGGCCAACUACGUG
rnacentral:rRNA from 1 species